GAUGAACGCUAGCGGCGUGCUUAACGCAUGCAAGUCGAACGAUAGGCCUUCGGGCCGAAAGUGGCGAACGGGUGAGUAACACGUUGGUGACCUACCUCAGAGAGGGGGACAACCACUGGAAACGGUGGCUAAUACCCCAGAUGUUUAUGUGUUUAGAAAGCAUAAACCAAAGCUCCGGUGCUCUGAGAGGGGCCAGCGUCCCAUCAGCUAGUUGGCGAGGUAAAGGCUCACCAAGGCGAAGACGGGUAGGGGGCGUGAGAGCGUGACCCCCCACACUGGUACUGAUACACGGACCAGAUACCUACGGGUAGCAGCAGCGAGGAAUAUUGCGCAAUGGGCGAAAGCCUGACGCAGCAACGCCGCGUGGAGGAUGAAGGCCUUCGGGUUGUAAACUCCUUUUUUGAGAGAAUAGAAAGGAAGGUAUCUCAAGAAUAAGCUCCGGCUAACUACGUG
rnacentral:rRNA from 1 species